rnacentral:rRNA from 2 species
GAUUAUUGGGCGUAAGCGCGCGCAGGCGGUUUCUUAAGUCUGAUGUGAAAGCCCACGGCUCAACCGUGGAGGGUCAUUGGAAACUGGGGAACUUGAGUGCAGAAGAGAAAAGCGGAAUUCCACGUGUAGCGGUGAAAUGCGUAGAGAUGUGGAGGAACACCAGUGGCGAAGGCGGCUUUUUGGUCUGUAACUGACGCUGAGGCGCGAAAGCGUGGGGAGCAAACAGGAUUAGAUACCCUGGUAGUCCACGCCGUAAACGAUGAGUGCUAAGUGUUAGAGGGUUUCCGCCCUUUAGUGCUGCAGCUAACGCAUUAAGCACUCCGCCUGGGGAGUACGGUCGCAAGACUGAAACUCAAAGGAAUUGACGGGGGCCCGCACAAGCGGUGGAGCAUGUGGUUUAAUUCUAAGCAACGCGAAGAACCUUACCAGGUCUUGACAUCCUCUGACGGCGUGGGAGAUAGAGCGUUCCCCUUCGGGGGACAGAGUGACAG